rnacentral:rRNA from 1 species
CCCUUAGAUGUUCUGGGCCGCACACGCGCUACACUGAAGGAGGCAGCGUGUACUCCUGGAUCGAAAGAUUUGGGUAACCCGCGAAUCUCCUUCGUGCUAGGGAUUGAGGUUUGCAAUUAUCCUUCCUGAACGAGGAAUUCCCAGUAAGUGCAAGUCAUAAGCUUGCGCUGACUACGUCCCUGCCCUUUGUACACACCGCCCGUCGCUACUACCGAUUGAAUGAUUUAGUGAGGACUUCGGACUGGGACCGAUGCGGCUUUCGGGCUGCGUCGGUAUUCUGGAAAGAUGUCCAAACUGUAUCAUUUAGAGGAAGUAAAAGUCGUAACA